AUACUUACCUGGCAGGGGAGACACCAUGAUCACGAAGGUGGUUUUCCCAGGGCGAGGCUCAUCCAUUGCACUGCGGGUGUGCUGACCCCUGCGAUUUCCCCAAAUGCGGGAAACUCGACUGCAUAAUUUGUGGUAGUGGGGGACUGCGUUCGCGCUCUCCCCUG
ensembl:snRNA U1 U1 spliceosomal RNA